rnacentral:lncRNA from 1 species
GCGGAAUAAAUUUUUCUUUUCUUUUCUUUCCAUUCAUUCAUUCAUUCUCUGAAUCGCAACCUUUACAAUUCUUCUUCAUACUAGAAUUAUAUUUAUUAUAUGACUUAUUUAGCUUGAGUAGAUAGGAAUAUAUAUACAAUUCAUUCUUUCAAGCAUAUCUCCUCUUUAGAACAAAUAAUCUUCAUCUAUCGAAUAAUUUAAAAUUUUACACGUCUGUGAUUUACACAUGAAAAUAUCAUCAAAUGACUCAACACAAUCUCAAUUAAAUCACUAGUCUUCUUUUCAUGCGCUCCUAAUCACGAUAGAUCGCAUCAUAGCUUUAACCUGCAAAUUAAGCAAGAUUGAGCACUACGGCCCAACAAGUCUAACAGUUUUCAUGCUUCACAUAGCACAUAAUAUCAUGCUUAUAUCAUAUCUCAAGAUUUUUACAAUUUAAAUAACAUUUGUAUCUCACAUAUAUCAAAUAUCAAACCAAGACUGAGUUUCAAAAACUCAAUCACAUUUAGUCAAUAGUUGACUUUCAUCAUUCCACAAGUAUAACAUGUAAUCCAUGUAAUCAUGUCAAAUUCAUAUAACAAAUAGGAACUGGAAAAACUUGCCUCUUUGAUGCGAAGCUAUUAAUUUCACGCGAUUACACGUAUUCGAAGUAUUAUGCUCCUGUAUAUCACCAAUAUACACAUAAUGUUAUUACAAUGUAUAACAUUACCAUAUUCUACAAAUUCUAUUUAAACUUGUGUUUUGCAAGUCUAAUAUCUCAUUCUUAACUUCUCUUAUUUUAAUAAGUUUGCUACAUAUGUAUGGGGUAUAAACAUUAUUAGCUUUUACUAGGUUAAUAAAUAGACCCACUUCUUUUUUUUUUUAAUUUUUUUUUCUAUUCACAGCUAACUGCUGCUACUAAUCGUUACUGCCUUUUAGCAACAGUCCUUUACUGUUAACUGCUACUGCACUUAGGCAGCAGCUCCUUAUUCCUGGCUCAUCAUUUCAUGCCUUUAUACCCUUUACAAAAAUCUUUUAAUAUCUUUUAAGAUGAUACAUUCAUUUAAGAUAGAGUAUCAACAACUAAACUCUAUACAGCCACACAUAUACAUUGCCUAAUAGCCCAAAAGGGAACUCCCAGCUCUUGCCCCUUAAGCUUAUUGCUGCUGCCAAGGAAGUAGCCUUACACACUGCCAACCAAAAAUUAUAACUCGUGUUAACUUGUAUAUACAUAUGCUUACUAUUUUGGUUUUCAAUUCAAAGCAGCUUCACCAAGCAUCCUCAACACAAUAAAAGUAGCUCAACAUUUUAGCCACAAAAAAGAGUAACUGCAGCAGCACAACGUACUCAGCAGUGCGCUGGUGCGCGACUGCAACUGCUGCUGGCAGCAGUUGCUCAAACCCAACAGCCCGUUUUGCGGCCUUAUAACUUUUAGCUCGUAUACCAAAUUAAAGCAAACUCUAAGUAUGUUAUACAUACCAUAUGAGUCUGUAUUUAGAGGUUAUAACCUCUUCAUUUCAGGUUUUAUACGAUGUCCAAAACAGUGUUCAUACAUGCUUUGCUGCACUAAAUUUUUCUUACUUUCGUUUUGCCUAGAAAUUGCUUUUCGCUCUAAUCUAGUACCUUCAAACUUGGGCAGCAUUAAGAUUGUAUUUCAUAGUAUUUUAGAAAAAUAUAACUCUUCUAAUUUGGGCAUCCUAGACAGGUUAAACAGAGCGCUAAAACUGCCUUGUCGAAACAGUUUUUAAUUUUUUUCCAACUGUACCCUCUCUUGCUCAAACAGCCAUAACUUUUUCGUUUCAAAACAUUUUUGAGCGAUUCUUGAGCCCACGCGAAGCUAACUUCCGGGGCUACAACUUUUAUUCUUUGACCAUUUUCAAAUUCGUAACACAAAAUUCCAGAAAAUUCGUGCAAGGGGACUGCUCCGAAUUUGUUAGACAGAUUUAACGCCAUUGCUUUGAACGGGCAUAACUCGUUGCUCCGAAGUCGGAAUUAGUCCGUUCCGGAGUCUUUGGAAAGCUUAUUCAGUGUACUAUAACAUACCAAAAGCCCAGAAUUUUUUGAACAUCCUAGCUAACCCCGAAUUUUCAUUUUAGGGUCAGCAGUUCACAAUUUUUCGGUUUCUAACAUGUUUAUUUCACAACCUUAUUACUUCUAGCUCAUAUACUAAAUUAGAACAAAUUUUAAAUAUGUUUUACAUAGCAUAUGAGACUGCAUUUAAAAGUUAUAACCUUUCCAUUUCAGCUUCAAUAAGCUGCCCAAAACAGAGUUUCCAAAUGACUUGACAUACUAACUCUAACUUUUCAUUGUUAACUAGAAAUUGAGCUUUGUUCUAGCUUGACACACUCAAACCCUCUAGUUAACAUCACAUAUGAUUAAUAAAUCAAUCCCAAGCUCUAAUUCUACCAAAGUUCUGAUUUUAGAUAAAAACAGUUCAUUGAAGCAUUUUAACAAACACCUUACGUACACAGUUUUAAAACACUCUUUUCAUAGCUAUUGGUUUGUUUUAGAAACCCAGUUUAGCUCCCUUAUUGCUCCACACAACCCAGCCUAUUCUCCUUUGUUCUAUUCCAUACAUAACAGUAAAAUAGCUUAACAAGAAUCAUGCAUAACAGUUAACAUAGCAACUAAAAUCAAUAUAGCAGUCAUUCAAGUCUGUUUCAGGCCAUUCGGCAAUUACAGUCCACUAGUAGCAAGAAAAAUGGAAUGGAAAGGAUUAGAAAGAGCUUACCUUGAUAGUUCAAAGAUUACAAUUGAUUGCUGUUCAAUCUCUUCUCCUUCUCAGUCGUUGCCUUACUGUUCUAUCUUUGUGACUACUAUACUUUGGAGCUCAGUGAAGUGGUAGGACUAACUGAGCUUGAGGUUCAUUAUAUGGCCAUAAAUGGUUGAGUUUCCUUCUCUCUCAUCAAUCUACAUGACCCCUAGCUUAUAUCUUAUUUCACAUAGCACUCCAUUACACCUAGCAGUCAGACUGCUUCUGCAGUGGCUCCUAAUAAGCUCUCUAGCAAGCCUACUUGACCCUUUGCAGUCUACUUGCCCCUUGUAUUUUGGCUUCUAGCAACUCAAUAAUGCACCUUAGCCUCUAACUAAUUACUAACCAAUUAACUGAUCACUCUCUUGGAACUAAAU